rnacentral:misc_RNA from 1 species
UAAAAGUUAAAAGUGCUGAAAUUUUCCCUCCUGGUAUGACCUCUUGUAUUUUGAAAAGUUAUGGGCCUUAGAGAGCACCCCACAAGGUGCUGCGACAUUUUAGCUCUUUGUUGUACAUGUUCAAUCAUAUGCUGUUGUUGCCUGCUACAUUGAAGUUUUUGUAUACAUGCACAGUCAUGUGUGCUCAUGUUUUUUCAUGCUUGAGAUCAAAUGAAUUUCAUUAUAACCUGUUUGUAUUAAUUA